rnacentral:misc_RNA from 1 species
CGAGGAAGAAGCAGAGGCAGGCAAAUUACAUAGUAUUAUACGGAUUAUAAAGAAGAAACCACCACCAUUACACUAAUACACACAAAGCUCGAUCAAGCAGCUUAAUUAAUUUCUUCCACAUGUACGACAUGCAUCCUCUCCUCACUCCGUGAUCAAUUUAAGAUGAUUCUUUGCAGCUCCAGCUCGACGACGAUCCAUCCGAAUUAAAAUCAUUUGACCUCCUGGAUCUCGUCCAGGGCGUAGUUGUUGGUCGACACGCCGGCGUAGUUCACCUUGGCGAACCGAACCACCACCGGGUAGCGAGUGUUGGGAUCCUGAUCAACGGUGACGACGGAGCCAGUGCCGUUGUACCAGUAGGACUCCCUCCUCAGGAUCUUCACCUUGGUGCCUCUCUUGGGGCCAAUGGGAGGCGGCUUGGCGGCGGCGGGCUCCUUGGUCGCCACGGCCGCCUCGGCCUCCGCCGGCUUCUCCUCCGCCGCGGGCGG